GUGACAAGCUUGCAAGAACAGCGCGACACAGUGCAGCGUAGACUAAGGGGGAUGUAGCUGCUACAUGGAAAACAGUCAAACUUGGUGGGUGGAAAAGGUCUGAGCUGCUGAUGGUGGAUGCUCUCUCUGCCCUGGGAUCUUCACUCUUACCUAACUCCACAAGAGCAGGACACUGCAUAGAUACCGAGCACUCAUUACAUCACCCACGGCAUGGACAAGGCAAGAGGCCCAGAAAUGAAGAAAAAGAGGUUUUUUUUUGGCAAUAAAAAGUGAUGUUACACUGCUCCAUGGCAACUUGCCUUCCCCUCUUCACAAACAUGCGUGGGGACCAAACACCGAAAGGGAAGGGGGGGGGGGGGGGG